rnacentral:rRNA from 1 species
UAUCACCUUUUGAGUUUGUUCUUGUGGGUUUCGAGGAGUUUAAAAGCCUUCGGAUUUGCUAGGAUUGGGCUCUUUUGGUGUACUUUCUCGUACGGUUAGUCAACAUCGGUUUUGAAUGUCAUAAAAUGACUGGAGGAAUGUGGCUUCGAUCUCGCAUCGAGGUGUUAUAACCUUUGGUAGAUGUGAUGUUCGAGACCGAGGAUUGCAACGGAUACCUUCUGGGCUAUUCGUCUGAUCUCUGAUACGUUGCCUUGAUGUCGAAAGCGUGCUUAUGAUGUUAGGGUAUUACGGUCAAAAGGUUAGAACGGAUUAAAUUCGUUAAGGAUGUUGACGUA